rnacentral:rRNA from 1 species
ACAUAGCCCGGAGAUGGAUUCUGAGACACGAAUCCAGACCCUACGGGGUGCAGCAGGCGCGAAAACUUGGCAAUGCGAGCAAUCGUGACCAGGGAACUCCAAGUGGCUGGGGUAAUACCCAGUUUUUUCUUGACUCUUCAAAGGUCUUGGAAUAAGGGGUGGGUAAGGACGGUGCCAGCCGCCGCGGUAAUACCGGCGCCUCAAGUGGUAGUCGCUUUUAUUGGGCCUAAAACGUCCGUAGCCGGUCUGGUGCAUUCGUGGGUAAAUCAACCCGCUCAACGGGUUGAAUUCUGCGAGCACGGCCAGACUUGGGACCGGGAGAGGUGUGGGGUACUCUCAGGGUAGGGGUAAAAUCCUGUCAUCCUGAGAGGACCACCUGUUGCGAAGGCGCCACACUAGAACGGAUCCGACGGUCAGGGACGAAACCUAGGGGCACGAACCGGAUUAGAUACCCGGGUAGUCCUAGGUGUAAACGCUGUGGACUUGAUGUUGGGGGCGCUCCGAGCGCUCUCAGUGUCGAAGCGAAGGUGAUAAGUCCACUGCCUGGGGAGUACGGUCGCAAGGCUGAAACUUAAAGGAAUUGGCGGGGGAGCACUGCAACCUGAGGAUUGUGCGGUUUAAUUGGACUCAACGCCGGGA